GUACUACGGGCUUCUCAGACAUUAUUGCAUUUCAUGUAUAAACCAACAAACCACUGAAAUUUUCACCUACACACUUACCCCUAUCAGUCAUUCGGUGUACUACAGGCUUCUUAGACGUUUUUGGCUUUUCAUGUACAAAACCAUAAACCACUGCAUUUUCACCUACACACUGACCCUUACCAGUCAUUCAGUGUACUACAGGCUUCUCAGACAUUAUUGCAUUUCAUGUACAAACCAACGAACCACUGCAUUUGCGCCUACACACUGACCCCUUCAGGUCAUUCAGUGUACUACAGGCUUCUCAGACAUUAUUGCAUUUCAUGUACAAACCAACUAACCACGGCAUUUUCGCCUACAUGCUGACCCCUACCGGUCAAUCAGUAUACUACAGGCUUCUCAGAUUUUAUUCCACUUCAUAAGCAAACAAACGAAC